AGCUCCUGCCGCCGCCGCAGCCGCUGCCGCCGCAGCGAAGAGGCCAUGUUGUGUGGUGUGUGGGGCGGGGGGAGGAGGAGGAGGGAGUAAAGCCUAGAGAGGAGACGGGAGAGAGACACCACACACACGGCACAAGAUGGCCGGAGAGGCAGCAGCACCCCGAGCUGUCAGGCGUUCCGCCGCGGCCGCGAGGCCCGCCGGCCGGCGGGGAGCUACGCCCGGACGGCCAGCAGGCCCGCGGGAGUGGGGCUGCCGCGGCUGAGGCGAGGCGGGCCGCGCGCGUCGGCGUCACAGCCCGCGGCAGAGGCGCCCAGGGCGGCCGGGCCCACGACGCCGAAAGCGCCGCUGCGGUUGCCGCCUCGGAGGCUCCCCCGGGCCCCGGCGGCUGGACCCGGCGCGGGCGGGAGGCUCGGGCGGGCGGUCCGGCCCGGGACUCGGGUUUGGGCGACCAGGAGGUGCCGGUGGCCGCGCUCGGACCCGGUGACUUAAGAGAUUAAAAUUAAUUUGGUUGCUGUUGGUUCUGAACAAAUAAUGAGUUCUUUUAUUUGAGGUAUGCCAUUUUGAAGACUGAGACGUUGGAGUUUUAUCCUAGAGGAUAAAGGAAAUCUUUGGGAAAGUCAGUAUUUUAUAUAGCAAAAAUAUGAACCUCAAACUGAAUCCUCUAAAGGCCCCAUACAAUGAAGUAGACAUUGGUGGAAACAUUUACACCCAGUCAGCUUGAAGAGUUUCAAAUGGACCCUACCACUGAGAAAUCAAGAUGGCAGUCUACUAUGGGGAAUUGAGGAAAAAUGGAUUAAUACAAGAGUCCUGUGAUAAUAUACAACCAAGACAGGGUUCUUUUAACAUGGAUUCCAUGCAGUGAAUGAAGACAUAGGUUUCUUACCCAACACAAAUGGACAGUGGAUUUGACUUUCUAAAGACUUUUUUUGUGGACAUUUUGACAUUUGGAGAAGAAAGAUGGCACACUAACCCAGAUAAUAGUUUUUAUGCCUGGAAUUUUUUGCAGUUUGAUUUGUAUGCGUAUGACCUCUUGAAAUGUUAAUUUUUAAUAAAAUUUGUAACACUUAAAAAUUUCUCAGUUUGGGUUUUUUUUUUUAAGUGGAAGUUUAAUUAAAUGUUUAGUUUUAUUUUAGUAAUACUUUGGCCUUUGUAGUUGCCGAGUGGUAAAGUGUACUGAAUAUGAAUAAAGCUGGUAAAUUGGAAAUGGUGUAAUCGAAAACAUUUUACUUGGUUUAUGAAGAUUUACGUUUUUCACAAAGUUGUGCUCUUAGAUGGUCAUUUGGUUUAAAUACUGUUUUGUUUGUGCUUUCAUGAAACACCUUUCAAAACAACUCAAUGGGUAAUAAUAGAAUCUGAUUUUAAUCUGCCACAAGAUUUUAAUGAACUUGAAACAAACUGCUUGUUGCUCGAAAAUUCAGGAUGAGUGAUACACAUAUACUUCUGAAUUAUUUUGUGUUGAUUGAAAUGGUUUCUUAAGCUUUUUAAUACUAUAAAUACAUCUUGCUAUAGAAUAUUCAUCUGAAUAUUUAAAUUAAUGUCUCCUAUUGUCUUACUAUUAGAGGAAGAAGUGUUGGAUUUAUGGGUUAGGGUCCUUGGAGUAUUCACAAUUUUUUAAAUUUGAAAUUAUGUGUGUAAUCCAUUUUAUAUAACUUUGAAGUAGGAUUAAUAUCUUGUAUCGUCUUUAUUUUGUACAAUUGGGGAUUUAGAAUAAAUGAAUUGCACCCUGC
rnacentral:lncRNA from 1 species